GUCUCUGUGGUGCAAUGGGUCAGCACAUUCAACUGUUAAUUGAAAGGAUGGUGGUUCGAGCCCACCCAGGGACA